rnacentral:rRNA from 1 species
GAUGAACGCUGGCGGCGUGCCUAAUACAUGCAAGUCGAGCGAACGAAGGGGAAGUUUGCUUCGCUGAUGUUGGGGGCGGACGGGUGAUUAACAGGUGGAUACCUGACCUUGAGGACUGGGAUACCUUCGGGAACCCGGAUCUAGCACCGGUUGUGAUUUUGAACGGCGGGGUUCAAAAGAGAAAACGGUACUUGCUGUGCCUAAUAGAUGGUACCCCGCUGGAUUAGCUAGUUGGUAAGGUAACGGCUUACCAAGGCAACGAUGCAUAGCCGACCUGAGAGGGUGAUCAGCCACACUGGAACUGAGACACGGUCCAGACUCCUACGGGAGGCAGCAGUAGGGAAUCUUCCGCAAUGGGCGAAAGCCUGACGGAGCAACGCCGCGUGAGUGAUGAAGGUCUUCGGAUCGUAAAACUCUGUUAUUAGGGAAGAACAUAUGUGUAAGUAACUGUGCACAUCUUGACGGUACCUAAUCAGAAAGCCACGGCUAACUACGUG